GAUGAACGCUGGCGGCGUGCCUAAUACAUGCAAGUCGAGCGAACGGACGAGAAGCUUGCUUCUCUGAUGUUAGCGGCGGACGGGUGAUUAACACGUGGAUAACCUACCUAUAAGACUGGGAUAACUUCGGGAAACCGUAUCUAAUACCGGAUAAUAUUUUGAACCGCAUGGUUCAAAAGUGAAAGACGGUCUUGCUGUCACUUAUAGAUGGAUCCGCGCUGCAUUAGCUAGUUGGUAAGGUAACGGCUUACCAAGGCAACGAUGCAUAGCCGACCUGAGAGGGUGAUCGGCCACACUGGAACUGAGACACGGUCCAGACUCCUACGGGAGGCAGCAGUAGGGAAUCUUCCGCAAUGGGCGAAAGCCUGACGGAGCAACGCCGCGUGAGUGAUGAAGGUCUUCGGAUCGUAAAACUCUGUUAUUAGGGAAGAACAUAUGUGUAAGUAACUGUGCACAUCUUGACGGUACCUAAUCAGAAAGCCACGGCUAACUACGUG
rnacentral:rRNA from 1 species